CACGUAGGGCGCGAGCGUUGUCCGGAAUUAUUGGGCGUAAAGAGCUCGUAGGCGGUCUGUCGCGUCUGCUGUGAAAACCUAGGGCUUAACUCUGGGCGUGCAGUGGGUACGGGCAGGCUAGAGUGCGGUAGGGGAGACUGGAAUUCCUGGUGUAGCGGUGGAAUGCGCAGAUAUCAGGAGGAACACCGGUGGCGAAGGCGGGUCUCUGGGCCAUAACUGACGCUGAGGAGCGAAAGCGUGGGGAGCGAACAGG
rnacentral:rRNA from 1 species